ACAAAGGCGGAAUCUUGUGGAAUCCCCUAUGUCAAAGCUAAAUUUGCUUGCACAUUUUCCAGAAAUACAUAUGCUUGCAACGAUUUUGGUGCUCCGAUGGUUUACAGAGAUCGAAAUGAAUUAAUAGGAAUAGGAUCUUUUUACACAUUCAAGACUACAGCGUAUACGUUAGAAUCUUUCCGUAUUUAGACUGGGUUGAAUCUCAUGUCACCGGAUCUACCGAUAGCAACGGCAAUAGUGUAUUCUUUACACACAACACCAGAGUAGAAGUGGUUAUGGCAAUGGUCGUCUUCCAAAUUGUCCUCAUUCGUAUU